GCUGGGAUAGCACAGUUGGUAGGGAUUGAGACCCUUAAUCUUAGCACCGUGGGUUCAAGCCCCAUGUUGGGCA